rnacentral:rRNA from 1 species
GAUGAACGCUGGCGGCGUGCUUAACACAUGCAAGUCGAACGGGAAACCUUUUAUUGAAGCUUCGGCAGAUUUAGCUGGUUUCUAGUGGCGGACGGGUGAGUAACGCGUGGGUAACCUGCCUUAUACAGGGGGAUAACAGUCAGAAAUGGCUGCUAAUACCGCAUAAGCGCACAGAGCUGCAUGGCUCAGUGUGAAAAACUCCGGUGGUAUAAGAUGGACCCGCGUUGGAUUAGCUGGUUGGUGGGGUAACGGCCCACCAAGGCGACGAUCCAUAGCCGGCCUGAGAGGGUGAACGGCCACAUUGGGACUGAGACACGGCCCAGACUCCUACGGGAGGCAGCAGUGGGGAAUAUUGCACAAUGGGGGAAACCCUGAUGCAGCGACGCCGCGUGAAGGAAGAAGUAUCUCGGGAUGUAAACUUCUAUCAGCAGGGAAGAUAAUGACGGUACCUGACUAAGAAGCCCCGGCUAACUACGUG